rnacentral:rRNA from 1 species
GUAGGUGGCAAGCGUUGUCCGGAAUUAUUGGGCGUAAAGCGCGCGCAGGCGGUCCUUUAAGUCUGAUGUGAAAGCCCACGGCUCAACCGCGGAGGGUCAUUGGAAACUGGGGGACUUGAGUACAGAAGAGGAAAGCGGAAUUCCAAGUGUAGCGGUGAAAUGCGUAGAGAUUUGGAGGAACACCAGUGGCGAAGGCGGCUUUCUGGUCUGUAACUGACGCUGAGGCGCGAAAGCGUGGGGAGCAAACAGGGAUUAGAUACCCUGGUAGUCCACGCCGUAAACGAUGAGUGCUAAGUGUUAGGGGGUUUCCCGCCCCUUAGUGCUGCAGCUAACGCAUUAAGCACUCCGCCUGGGGAGUACGCCUCAAGGCUG